rnacentral:rRNA from 1 species
GACGAACGCUGGCGGCGUGCUUAACACAUGCAAGUCGAACGGGCCUUGUCCCCUUUUUUUUGGGGGUGGGGUUAGUGGCGAACGGGUGAGUAACACGUGAGUAACCUGCCCCUCACUUCUGGAUAACCGCUUGAAAGGGUGGCUAAUACGGGGUGUUCUGGCCUGCUCGCAUGGGUGGGUUUGGAAAGAUUCGACCGGUUUUGGUUGUUUUGGUGGGGGAUGGGCUCGCGGCCUAUCAGCUUGUUGGUGGGGUGAUGGCCUGCCAAGGCUUUGACGGGUAGCCGGCCUGAGAGGGUGGGCGGUCACACUGGGACUGAGACACGGCCCAGACUCCUACGGGAGGCAGCAGUGGGGAAUAUUGCACAAGGGGCGCAAGCCUGAUGCAGCGACGCCGCGUGAGGGAUGGAGGCCUUCGGGUUGGGAACCUCUUUCGCCAGUGAAGAAGGUCCUGCUCUUUGUGGUGGGGUUGACGGUAGCUGGGUUAAUGAAGCGCCGGCUAACUACAUG